AGCUCCAAUAGCGUAUAUUAAAGUUGUUGCGGUUAAAAAGCUCGUAGUUGGAUUUCUGUCGAGGACGGCCCGUCCGCCUUUUGGGCGUGUAUGUGGUUCGUGCUUGGCAUCCUCUUGGGAGACGUUUCUGUGCUUCAUUGCAUGGGACGGAAUUCAAGACUUUUACUUUGAGGAAAUUAGAGUGUUCACGGCAAGCUAUCGCUUUGAAUACAUUAGCAUGGAAUAAUAAUAUAGGGCGUAAGUUCUAUUUUGUUGGUUUCUAGGACAUACGCAAUGAUUAAUAGGGACAAUUGGGGGCAUUCGUAUUAACGCGUCAGAGGUGGAAUUCUUAGAUUGCGUUACGACGAACUACUGCGAAAGCAUUUGCCAAGGAUGUUUUCA
rnacentral:rRNA from 1 species